CUUGCCACCACGAGGUUUUACAUGUGAUCUCUUGUGUCACAGGCUGGAGGAGAGCCCCUCGAAACGUAAGACUAAAGGCCGGACGUUCAGAACAGAUGAGGAUUCUUUAAACUCAGAAGUGGCGAUAUUUGCCCCUUUAGAGUCAGACAUAGACGAAAGUGCCAACUCUGUUCUAGAGCAACAAUUUGUCAGAAAUGACAGUCCCUCACAGUCUCCCUCAGUGGGAAAAGACCCGGAGGAUGAAAACAGCGGGAGAAACACAGAUGAAGAUGAAUCCACCAUGAAUUCAGUGAGUAG